GAUGAACGCUAGCUACAGGCUUAACACAUGCAAGUCGAGGGACCGGCGCACGGGUGAGUAACACGUAUCCAACCUGCCCUUUACUCGGGGAAAGCCUUUCGAAAGAAAGAUUAAUAACCGAUGAAAAGGAUGGGGAUGCGUGCCAUUAGGUUGUUGGUAAGGUAACGGCUAACCAAGCCGUCGAUGGAUAGGAGUUCUGAGAGGAAGUACCCCCGCAUUGUCACUGGGAUACGGUCCAAACUGAUAGGGGAGUCAGCAGUGAGUGAUAUAAGUCAAUCGGCGUUAGCCGGAAGCGGCCGAGUAGAUUAAAGAAUUAAGGCUUAUGGGACGUAAACUACUUAGAUGUAAGAAUAUGUAUUAUAUGAAUAAGGUUCGGCUAACUCCGUGCCAGCAGCCGCGGUAAUUC
rnacentral:rRNA from 1 species